UGCUUGUUUGUGUUUGCCAUCUUUUCUGAGUGACUCAUUGAAAUGUCACCGUAUAGUGAAGAUGUUUAUUUGUGAAGAGGAAAUAGUGCUCUACGUAUGUUCUCUGUUAUUUUUGCAUAAUGGGGUCAAACACGUAUCAAGUAAACAAGUCUAAAACUCAAGUCACUUAAAUCUUCAUAAGAAAAAAAAUAAAGAGAGAAAGAGGGUUGAGAAGGAAAGAAAAAAGAAUCAAGAAAUGACUAAAUAAUCCCAUUUUCAUGUUGUAUCUAAUUGUUCUGCAGUUGUUAUGUUACUCAUGUUAUCCUGUCUUCACCUCUAUUAACUUAUUCAUUUUCUGUGAAGUUUUCACUUUCUGAUAUAGAUUUCAUUAUAAAUGUGCUUCUCCUGUAUGGAAAGUGAUCGUACAUCCAAAGUGGCCAUACAUGGGAGCCUCACCUGAUGGAACUGUCACUUGUGACUGUUACUGAACAGUCAGUAUCUUCAUGUACCACAGAUUAAAUCCAAGAGGCAAGACAAGAACCAACAACAAAGAACGGAGAGCCAAAGACAAGGCAAGAAUCAAGACACUAACGAGAAUGGAGGACAAACCCAAGAACAAGUCCGUUGUCCAGGAGGUCAAACUAACAGCAGCCUUAAAGAGCAACUUGCAGGUUUACUGGUUCAGCUGCUGCAGCCUGGACAGAAACACCAGCUCUCAUCUUACAAACCAAACAGGUGUCACCACUUGGUCCACAACUCUCAGAGAGGUGUAAAAAUCAGUAGUGACGGAGUUCCCUGAUUUGACAGCAUCAACUGCGUUCAGAAAGACAUCGUCCACAAUCGAGUCUUCAUACAGUGAGGAAGUUCUUUGAGACCAGGACUGAGGCCUCCAGGUGUCACUUGGUCCACAGAGACAUUGUCCACAAUCCCAGAGAGUCUUCAUACAAUGAGGAAGUUCUUUGAGACCAGAACUGAGGCCUCC